GGGGGGGGUGCACUGUUUCAUUCUCACCUGGUGCUAGGGUGACCAGAUCACAACACUAAAAUAUCGGGACACAGUGGGGUGCCGUCAGCCCCCCCACAGUC